UGGGUAACCUGCCUCAAAGAGGGGAAUAGCCUCCCGAAAGGGGAGAUUAAUACCGCAUAAUAUGUUUAAGUCGCAUGACUUUAACAUCAAAGGAUUUUCUUUCAGAAGUUCCACUUUGAGAUGGACCCGCGGUGCAUUAGCUAGUUGGUGAGGUAACGGCUCACCAAGGCAACGAUGCGUAGCCGACCUGAGAGGGUGAUCGGCCACAUUGGAACUGAGACACGGUCCAGACCUCUACGGGAG
rnacentral:rRNA from 1 species